GACGAACGCUGGCGGCGUGCUUAACACAUGCAAGUCGAACGGAAAGGCCCUGCUUUUGUGGGGUGCUCGAGUGGCGAACUGGUGAGUAACACGUGAGUAACCUGCCCUUGACUUUGGGAUAACUUCAGGAAACUGGGUCUAAUACCGGAUAGGAGCUCCUGCUGCAUGGUGGGGGUUGGAUAGUUUCGGCGGUUGGGGAUGUACUCGCGGCUUAUCAGCUUGUUGGUGGGGUAGUGGCUUACCAAGGCUUUGACGGGUAGCCGGCCUGAGAGGGUGACCGGCCACAUUGGGACUGAGAUACGGCACAGCCUACUACGGGAGGCAGCAGUGGGGAAUAUUGCACAAUGGGCGGAAGGCUGAUGCAGCAACGCAGCGUGCGGGAUGACGGCCUUCGGGUUGUAAACCGCUUUCGCCUGUGACGAAGCGUGAGUGACGGUAAUGGGUAAAGAAGCACCGGCUAACUACGUG
rnacentral:rRNA from 1 species